rnacentral:rRNA from 1 species
GACGAACGCUGGCGGCGUGCUUAACACAUGCAAGUCGAACGGAAAGGCCCUGCUUUUGUGGGGUGCUCGAGUGGCGAACGGGUGAGUAACACGUGAGUAACCUGCCCUUGACUUUGGGAUAACUUCAGGAAACUGGGGCUAAUACCGGAUAGGAGCUCCUGCUGCAUGGUGGGGGUUGGAAAGUUUCGGCGGUUGGGGAUGGACUCGCGGCUUAUCAGCUUGUUGGUGGGGGAGUGGCUUACCAAGGCUUUGACGGGUAGCCGGCCUGCGAGGGUGACCGGCCCCAUUGGGACUGAGAUACGGCCCAGACUCCUACGGGAGGCAGCAGUGGGGAAUAUUGCACAAUGGGCGGAAGCCUGAUGCAGCAACGCCGCGUGCGGGAUGACGGCCUUCGGGUUGUAAACCGCUUUCGCCUGUGACGAAGCGUGAGUGACGGUAAUGGGUAAAGAAGCACCGGCUAACUACGUG